GUCGGCCAGAGAAAGAGAGAGAGAGAGAGAGAGAGAGAGAGAGAGACAGGCAGUCGGCCAGAGAGAGAGAGAGAGAGAGAGAGCGCGACCGAGACCGAUCUGCAGACAGGCAGUCGGCCAGAGAGAGAGAGAGAGACAGGCAGUCGGCCAGAGAGAGAGAGAGACAGGCAGUCGGCCAGAGAGAGAGAGAGAGAGAGGCAGUCGGCCAGAGAAAGAGACUGGGGAAGCCGGCAGCUUCAGCUCGUCGCAGCUGAGGCUUGGAACUCUCCUGUGCCCACAAGGGUGGGUUGAUCACCGGUACACGGAACCACAACGAAUGUGUGUGGCUGUCACUUCGACAGGAGUGGAUUCUGUGUUAACCCUUGCCUGGGUUAUGUUGUGUGUGGCAACCCCUGCAAGACGGUAUUCCUGUGACAGGUCACUUUCGCCGAUGACUCGUAUUUGGACCGAUUCAACGGAUAAGAACUUCAACGACGGUUAUUUUGAUGUGACGGCCUUUUCUCUACACGUUCCACCCUGGAUUACAAAUAUCUCCCCCCACCACCAUUUAUUCCGUGGAUUCCUGAACUUCCCUACUUUACCAUCUCAAGACUCCCUCGGGCUCGAUAGUUUUGAUAGUGUUUAAAAAAAACCUACCUCAGUGAUUACAUUGACUCUAAUGAACCACAUUGAGGGUGUUUUUGGCGCUGCAUUCAUGGUGGAGAAGUGACCAAUUAACCUACCUCCCUGAGGGAGGAAACACCCGGGGAGAACGUACAAACAGCGUACGGCGCCCGGAUCUGUAAUAGCGUGGCACUAACCACUACGCUACCUUUAAGCUGGCAGCCACAAAGCAAAGAGACCCCAAAGAACCCAUUAAAACAAAGACUGUCAAACACCCAAUGUGCAAAGAGAGAAAAAGCAAAUCAUGCAAACAAUAACCGCAAGCAAACAGCGUUUUGAACUGAAGCCCAGAGG